UUCUCACUGGGGUGGGUUGGGGAACCAGGACUUUUACUUUGAAAAAAUUAGAGUGUUCAAAGCAGGCCUUUGCUCGAAUACGUUAGCAUGGAAUAAUAGAAUAGGACGUGCGGUCCUAUUUUGUUGGUUUCUAGGACCGCCGUAAUGAUUAAUAGGGACAGUCGGGGGCAUCAGUAUUCAAUUGUCAGAGGUGAAAUUCUUGGAUUUAUUGAAGACUAACUACUGCGAAAGCAUUUGCCAAGGAUGUUUUCAUUAAUCAGUGAACGAAAGUUAGGGGAUCGAAGACGAUCAGAUACCGUCGUAGUCUUAACCGUAAACUAUGCCGACAGUCGU
rnacentral:rRNA from 1 species